rnacentral:rRNA from 1 species
UAGGGAAUCUUCCGCAAUGGGCGAAAGCCUGACGGGGCAACGCCGCGUGAGUGAUGAAGGUCUUCGGAUCGUAAAACUCUGUUAUUAGGGAAGAACAAAUGUGUAAGUAACUAUGCACGUCUUGACGGUACCUAAUCAGAAAGCCACGGCUAACUACGUGCCAGCAGCCGCGGUAAUACGUAGGUGGCAAGCGUUAUCCGGAAUUAUUGGGCGUAAAGCGCGCGUAGGCGGUUUUUUAAGUCUGAUGUGAAAGCCCACGGCUCAACCGUGGAGGGUCAUUGGAAACUGGAAAACUUGAGUGCAGAAGAGGAAAGUGGAAUUCCAUGUGUAGCGGUGAAAUGCGCAGAGAUAUGGAGGAACACCAGUGGCGAAGGCGACUUUCUGGUCUGUAACUAACGCUGAUGUGCGAAAGCGUGGGGAUCAAACAGG